rnacentral:rRNA from 1 species
UACGGAGGGUGCAAGCGUUAUCCGGAUUCACUGGGUUUAAAGGGAGCGUAGGUGGGUUGGUAAGUCAGACGUGAAAUCCCUCGGCUUAACCGGGGAACUGCGUCUGAUACUGGAUGGCUUGAGUUUGGGAGAGGGAUGCGGAAUUCCAGGUGUAGCGGUGAAAUGCGUAGAUAUCUGGAGGAACACCGGUGGCGAAGGCGGCAUCCUGGACCAACACUGACACUGAGGAGCGAAAGCCAGGGGAGCAAACGGG